UACUCAGCACCAAGUGCCCCAUCCAGGCAGCCAGGGAUCACACAGGUGCAGGAUGCUACUACACCAACAAUGUGUAAGCCUAUAGAAUGAGCUAAAUGUAGGUUUAGCACCAGUACAGGGCAGGCAAUACAAUGUAAAGCAAUCCACACAGCGCUACCGAGCAUGCAUGCCAAUAAUCUGACUUCCCUCUCUGAGCAAUUCCUGGAGGUACACAGAGGUGCAUAAAGAAAAUGGUGGCUGCAGAACUUCCAUCCUGGAAAAAGCACAUCCUCCAGUUUCAGGUGAUACUACUUCCCACAUUUGCAACAAGAAUAUCAAUCAGAGAGAUUUUAUAUUAAAGACCUUAAGAAUAUUCCAACAUGGAAUACUUUAGAGACAAAUCCAACUGGAAUUUGGAAUAGAUAAAAUCAGAAGUUACAGACGA